rnacentral:rRNA from 1 species
CAGCCGCCGCGGUAAUACGUAGGUCCCGAGCGUUGUCCGGAUUUAUUGGGCGUAAAGCGUGCGCAGGCGGUUAUAUAAGUCAGAUGUGAAAUCCCCGGGCUUAACCUGGGAACUGCAUUUGUGACUGGCGGGCUAGAGUAUGGCAGAGGGGGGUAGAAUUCCACGUGUAGCAGUGAAAUGCGUAGAGAUGUGGAGGAACACCAGUGGCGAAGGCGACUCUCUGGUCUGUAACUGACGCUGAGGAGCGAAAGCGUGGGGAGCGAACAGGAUUAGAGACCCGCGUAGUCCCUGUCUCUUAUAC